rnacentral:rRNA from 1 species
UGAACGCUGGCGGCAUGCCUAACACAUGCAAGUCGAACGAAGCGGUGUGGAUUGAGACUUCGGUUGAUUGAAACACUGACUUAGUGGCGGACGGGUGAGUAACGUGUGGGCAACCUGCCCUGUACUGUGGAAUAAUCACUGGAAACGGUGACUAAUACCGCAUGUCAUCACCGGAGGGCAUCCUCUGGGUGAAAAAAAGGAUUUAUUCGGUACAGGAUGGGCCCGCAUCUGAUUAGCUAGUUGGUGAGAUAACAGCCCACCAAGGCGACGAUCAGUAGCCGACCUGAGAGGGUGAUCGGCCACAUUGGGACUGAGACACGGCCCAAACUCCUACGGGAGGCAGCAGUGGGGAAUAUUGCACAAUGGGGGAAACCCUGAUGCAGCAACGCCGCGUGAGUGAUGACGGCCUUCGGGUUGUAAAGCUCUGUCUUCAGGGACGAUAAUGACGGUACCUGAGGAGGAAGCCACGGCUAACUACGUG